rnacentral:rRNA from 1 species
UACGUAGGUGGCAAGCGUUGUCCGGAUUUACUGGGCGUAAAGAGCGCGCAGGCGGUCGUUCAAGUCGCGUGUGAAAGCCCCCGGCUCAACUGGGGAGGGUCACGCGAUACUGAUCGACUCGAAGGCAGGAGAGGGUAGUGGAAUUCCCGGUGUAGUGGUGAAAUGCGUAGAUAUCUGGAGGAAUACCGGUGGCGAAGGCGGCAUCCUGGACCGACAUUGACGCUGAGGAGCGAAAGCUAGGGGAGCAAACGGG